rnacentral:rRNA from 1 species
UACGGAGGGUGCAAGCGUUAUCCGGAUUCACUGGGUUUAAAGGGUGCGUAGGUGGAUUGGUAAGUCAGUGGUGAAAUCUCUGGGCUUAACUCAGAAACUGCCAUUGAUACUAUCAGUCUUGAAUACCGUGGAGGUCAGCGGAAUAUGUCAUGUAGCGGUGAAAUGCUUAGAUAUGACAUAGAACACCAAUUGCGAAGGCAGCUGGCUAGACCUGUAUUGACGCUGAGGCACGAAAGCGUGGGGAGCGAACAGG